GAAUUUUGGGCAAUGGCCGCAAGGCUGACCCAGCGACGCCGCGUGCGGGAGGACGCCUUUCGGGGUGUAAACCGCUGUCAGGGGGGACGAGUGAUUCGGCAGAGAAUACCUGUCGGAAGUGACGGUACCUCCAAAGGAAGCGCCGGCUAACUCCGUGCCAGCAGCCGCGGUAAGACGGAGGGCGCGAGCGUUGUUCGGAAUCACUGGGCGUCAAGCGCGCGCAGGCGGGACUAGCAAGUCGGAAGUGAAAUACCGGGGCUCAACUCCGGGGCUGCUUCCGAAACUGCGGACCUGGAGACCGGUAGAGGUGGGUGGAAUUCCCGGUGUAGCGGUGGAAUGCGUAGAGAUCGGGAAGAACACCUGUGGCGAAGGCGGCCCACUGGGCCGGAUCUGACGCUGAGGCGCGAAAGCGUGGGGAGCAAACAGG
rnacentral:rRNA from 1 species